rnacentral:lncRNA from 1 species
ACGGCCUGGGAAAAUCAAAGCGAAUCACGUUGACGCAGCCUCACAGAGGGACAGAGUUUGACUGCGGGACUCAGCCUGAGGCAGGGGACAGAAUCCCUGAGUGUGCUCCUGGCCAGUGGCUUCAUCUCUCAUCUCUCUGUGACUCUGUUUUCUUUAGCUGUCUAUGGAAAGAAUAAGCAUGAGAAGCAUUCAAUUUGAUUCAAACUGAAGCACUGCACCUGCUUUGUGUGAGACACUUUAGCCACCUCAGGGGUACACACACAAAAGCCCACUGUCCCUGCCCUCAAGGAGCCUAUCAUAUAAUGACAGUCACUAAAAUUUGAAGAUCUCUUUACAGUUCACCUUUACUUCUGAUAUGGUUUGGCUCUGUGUGCCCACUCAAAUCUCAUCUU